UACGCCUACGGGGCGCAGCAGUGAGGAAUAUUGGUCAAUGGACGGAAGUCUGAACCAGCCAUGCCGCGUGCAGGAAGACGGCUCUAUGAGUUGUAAACUGCUUUUGUACAAAGGUAAACCUGAAUACGUGUAUUCAGCUGAAAGUACUGUACGAAUAAGGAUCGGCUAACUCCGUGCCAGCAGUCGCGGUAAUACGGAGGAUCCAAGCGUUAUCCGGAUUUAUUGGGUUUAACGGGUGCGUAGGCGGAUUGAUAAGUUAGAGGUGUAAUGUCCGAGCUUAACUCGUGAACUGCCUCUACUACUUU
rnacentral:rRNA from 1 species